GUCUUUUUGAGUUAUUUUUAAAGUCUGACCUGCCCACUGAAUAUUUUUAAAUGGCCGCAGUAUUCUAACUGUGCAAAGGUAGCAUAAUCAUUAGUCUUUUAAUUGAAGGCUGGUAUGAACGGUUGGACGAAGUAUAAGCUGUUUCAUAUAAAAUUAUAUUAGAAUUUUAUAUUUUAGUUAAAAAGCUAAAAUAUUAUUAAAAGACGAGAAGACCCUAUAAAUCUUUAUAUUUAAUAUUAUUCAAAUUUUUUUGAUUAAUUUUAUUUUUAUAAUAUUAAAUAUUUUGUUGGGGUGAUAUUAAAAUUUAAUAAACUUUUAAUUUUGAAUUAGAACAUUAAUUUAUGAAUAGUUGAUCCAUUAUUAAUGAUUAUAAGAUUAAGUUACUUUAGGGAUAACAGCGUAAUUUUUUUUGAGAGUUCAUAUCGACAAAAAAGUUUGCGACCUCGAUGUUGGAUUAAGAUAUAUAUUUAGGUGUAGCCGUUUAAAUAUUAAGUCUGUUCGACUUUUAAAUUCUUACAUGAUCUGAGUUCAA
rnacentral:rRNA from 2 species